GUGCUCGCUUCGACAGCACGUGUACUAAAAUUGGGACAAUACAGAGAUUAGCAUGGCUCCCGUGCAAGGCUGACACGCAAAUUUGUUAAGCUUUCCAUAUUUUU
rnacentral:snRNA from 1 species